UCCAGAAUAGUCAAAUGGUUAAGACAUUUCAACUCAAAAUGAAAAAUUAUCGGUUCGAAUCCGAUUUCCGGAG
rnacentral:tRNA from 1 species